rnacentral:rRNA from 1 species
CCUACGGGUGGCAGCAGUGAGGAAUAUUGGUCAAUGGGCGAGAGUCUGAACCAGCCAAGUCGCGUGAAGGAUGACGGCCCUAUGGGUUGUAAACUUCUUUUGUAGGGGAGUAAAAUGCUCCACGUGUGGGGUUCCGUAUGUACCAUAAGAAUAAGGAUCGGCUAACUCCGUGCCAGCAGCCGCGGUAAUACGGAGGAUCCGAGCGUUAUCCGGAUUUAUUGGGUUUAAAGGGAGCGUAGGUGGAUAGUUAAGUCAGGUGUGAAAGUUGGCGGCUCAACCGUUAAAGUGCAGUUGAAACUGGUAGUCUUGAGUACAGUAGAGGUGUGCGGAAUUCGUGGUGUAGCGGUGAAAUGCUUAGAUAUCACGAAGAACUCCGAUUGCGAAGGCAGCACACUGGAGUUCAACUGACACUGAGGCUCGAAAGUGUGGGUAUCAAACAGGAUUAGAUACCCUUGUAGUC